rnacentral:rRNA from 1 species
UAAGGAAUAUUGGUCAAUGGACGCAAGUCUGAACCAGCCAUGCCGCGUGAAGGAUGAAGGUCCUCUGGAUUGUAAACUUCUUUUAUCUGGGACGAAAACGGGAUUUUUAUCUCAAUUGACGGUACCAGAGGAAUAAGCACCGGCUAACUCCGUGCCAGCAGCCGCGGUAAUACGGAGGGUGCGAGCGUUAUCCGGAUUUACUGGGUUUAAAGGGUGCGUAGGUGGGCUUAUAAGUCAGUGGUGAAAUCUCCGAGCUUAACUCGGAAACUGCCGUUGAUACUAUAGGUCUUGAAUUAUCUGGAGGUCAGCGGAAUAUGACAUGUUGCGGUGAAAUGCUUAGAUAUGACAUAGAACACCAAUUGCGAAGGCAGCUUACUACAUAUAAAUUGACGCUGAGGCACGAAAGCGUGGGGAUCAAACA